rnacentral:rRNA from 1 species
GACGAACCGUGCGAACGUUGUUCGGAAUCACUGGCUUAAAGGGCGCGCAGGCGGGCUAUCAAGUCCGGGGUGAAAUCCUCCAGCUCAACUGGAGAACGGCCUCGGAUACUGAUGGUCUCGAGGGGGAUAGGGGCACGCGGAACUGUGGGUGGAGCGGUGAAAUGCGUUGAUAUCCAUAGGAACUCCGGUGGCGAAAGCGGCGUGCUGGAUCCCUUCUGACGCUGAGGCGCGAAAGCCAGGGGAGCAAACGGG